UAUAACGUAACAAUUAUUGCAAUAUUGA
rnacentral:sRNA from 1 species